rnacentral:rRNA from 1 species
UACAGAGGGUGCAAGCGUUGUUCGGAAUUAUUGGGCGUAAAGGGCGCGUAGGCGGUGCGGUAAGUCUGCAGUGAAAUCUCUGGGCUCAACUCAGAGUCUGCUGUAGAAACUGCCGUGCUUGAGUGUGGGAGAGGUGAGUGGAAUUCCCGGUGUAGCGGUGAAAUGCGUAGAUAUCAGGAGGAACACCGGUGGUGUAAACGGCUUUCUGGACCGUAACUGACGCUGAGACACGAAAGCGUGGGUAGCAAACAGG